CUAACUAUAACAUGAUUAAAGGCGAAAAAUAAGCUAACUACAGCUGACAGCUUCAUGGAAUUUCAUUUGCAAGUGACUGUAUUUUUUUUUUUUCAGUUGAACAACCAAACAAAGGCAACGAUAUCUUGCCAGUUUUGGAAAAUUUUACUUCUAGCCUCUUUAAAUUCCUUAAAAAAAAAAAAGCAAAUAAAAUAAAACAAAAUUUUGGGUUGUUUGGGAUUUUGAAAACGUGGAAAGGAAUGAUCUUAAAAUAGAACAAGUGUGAAAUUUGGUUGGGUUUUAGGAAGUUAAAGAUCCUUAUGUACGUCUUACGUAACAAGGUAUGAACUGAAACAUGUUAGAAAACAAUUAAGAGAAGGAGAAAAAUAUGACAAUCCAGCGGAGAAUUAAUGGAGGAGAUCCUACGGAGUCAAAGUCAAUCUUUCAAUGGCGUUCGGUUUUUCUGACUGAUAUACAAGCUUUCGCCGUGUGAGUGGAAAGUUGGAAACUAUGGAUUCUAUCUUCUGAACCCUUCAGGCUUCAGGUUUCAGCCUAAAGAGUUUGGCUUCGUCUUAAACGCGUACGUGCAGCAAUUUGCGAACUACUAGACCUACUAGUAGUAGCAAAGAUUUUGCACCAAGGUAGGUUGUUGGCUUGGUUCCCGUCAGCGCUUGCUGCUUGUUAUGAGCCCACCUUAUAUAUAAUCAUGAUCGGAUAUAUGAUGUCAUGAGCCAUAUUUAUAUAGGAUCAUGAUCAGAGAUGUUAAUGGAAGAGUAGAUUUCAUAUGCUAAUGUUCCCAUUUUAAAUAGUUUUUAAUAGUAUAGUUAUAAAAAUUUUUAAGCUUUUUUAGAAGAGAUGAGCAAUCAAUUUAUUAUUAGAUUAUUUCACUAAUUAAAAUAUGUAUUAGAUCACUCAUUUAAGAUUGCCUCUUUUGACCUCGAU
rnacentral:lncRNA from 1 species